GACGAACGCUGGCGGCGUGCCUAAUACAUGCAAGUAGAACGCACAGUUUAUACCGUAGCUUGCUACACCAUAGACUGUGAGUUGCGAACGGGUGAGUAACGCGUAGGUAACCUGCCUGGUAGCGAGGGAUAACUAUUGGAAACGAUAGCUAAUACCGCAUAAUAUUAAUUAUUGCAUGAUAAUUAAUUGAAAGGUGCAAUUGCACCACUACCAGAUGGACCUGCGUUGUAUUAGCUAGUAGGUGAGGUAACGGCUCACCUAGGCGACGAUACAUAGCCGACCUGAGAGGGUGAUCGGCCACACUGGGACUGAGACACGGCCCAGACUCUACGGGAGGCAGCAGUAGGGAAUCUUCGGCAAUGGACGAAAGUCUGACCGAGCAACGCCGCGUGAGUGAAGAAGGUUUUCGGAUCGUAAAGCUCUGUUGUAAGAGAAGAACGGGUGUGAGAGUGGAAAGUUCACA
rnacentral:rRNA from 1 species